CCAUCUUCUAAACCUUGGAUAACUGAUUGGUAGUUUAGUGUGUUCUUGGGUUUCUAAUUUUGCAUGACAGACUUUAUGAGAAGUCACGUCUUUGAAGAAAAAGGACAAUGAGUAUGCAGUCAACAAGGUCCUUUGUUUGGUAACCCGUUUGCUGCUACCACCCCUUUUUACUUCCUUAAACAGGCCCUCUUGAUUUGAGGGUAACUCCUUCGCUACUUAUCAUGGUUUCUCUUAACCAUUGGCCAGGUAAUCUCCCUGGCUGCAUUCACUUAAGGCAGUGUCUCCCCUUGUCUUUAUUGACUGUGUGUGCAAGUUUCAAAAGCAGUUUAUCACCCAAAUGAGACAAAAGGAGUUUGUUAGGUUUGUUUUAUUUGGGUAUAAAU